UACGUAGGGUCCGAGCGUUGUCCGGAAUUAUUGGGCGUAAAGGGCUCGUAGGCGGUUUGUCGCGUCGGGAGUGAAAACCUUGGGCUUAACUCAGGGCUUGCUUUCGAUACGGGCAGACUAGAGGUAUGCAGGGGAGAACGGAAUUCCUGGUGUAGCGGUGAAAUGCGCAGAUAUCAGGAGGAACACCGGUGGCGAAGGCGGGUCUCUGGGCCGAAACUGACGCUGAGGAGCGAAAGCGUGGGGAGCAAACAGG
rnacentral:rRNA from 1 species